rnacentral:rRNA from 1 species
AUUGAACGCUGGCGGUAGGCCUAACACAUGCAAGUCGAACGCGAAAGUCCUUCGGGAUGAGUAGAGUGGCGGACGGGUGAGUAACGCGUAGGAAUCUAUCCUGUAGUGGGGGAUAACGUUUCGAAAGGAACGCUAAUACCGCAUACGCCCCAAGGGGAAAGCGGGGGAUCUUCGGACCUCGUGCUAUAGGAGGAGCCUGCGUCGGAUUAGCUAGUUGGUGAGGUAAAGGCUCACCAAGGCGACGAUCCGUAGCUGGUCUGAGAGGAUGAUCAGCCACACCGGAACUGAGACACGGUCCGGACUCCUACGGAGGCAGCAGUGGGGGAAUAUUGCGCAAUGGGCGAAAGCCUGACGCAGCCAUACCGCGUGUGUGAAGAAGG